AACGAACGCUGGCGGCAUGCCUAACACAUGCAAGUCGAACGAGACCUUCGGGUCUAGUGGCGUACGGGUUCGUAACGCGUGGGAACCUGCCCUUAGGUUCGGCAUAACUCCCCGAAAGGGGUGCUAAUACCGGAUAAUGUCUUCGGACCAAAGAUUUAUCGCCUUUGGAUGGGCCCGCGUUGGAUUAGCUAGUUGGUAGGGUAAAAGCCUACCAAGGCGACGAUCCAUAGCUGGUCUGAGAGGAUGAUCAGCCACACUGGGACUGAGACACGGCCCAGACUCCUACGGGAGGCAGCAGUGGGGAAUAUUGGACAAUGGGCGAAGGCCUGAUCCAGCAAGGCCGCGUGAGUGAUGAAGGCCUUAGGGUUGUAAAGCUCUUUUACCCGGGAUGAUAAUGACAGUACCGGGAGAAUAAGCCCCGGCUAACUCCGUG
rnacentral:rRNA from 1 species